CUGAGAGGAUGAUCAGCCACACUGGGACUGAGACACGGCCCAGACUCCUACGGGAGGCAGCAGUGGGGAAUUUUGGACAAAGGGCGAAAGCCUGAUCCAGCAAUGCCGCGUGUGCGAAGAAGGCCUUCGGGUUGUAAAGCACUUUUGUCAGGAAAGAAAUUGUUUGGGCUAAUACCCCGAGCCGUUGACGGUACCUGAAGAAUAAGCACCGGCUAACUACGUGCCAGCAGCCGCGGUAAUACGUAGGGUGCGAGCGUUAAUCGGAAUUACUGGGCGUAAAGCGUGCGCAGGCGGUUUGUUAAGACAGUUGUGAAAUCCCCGGGCUCAACCUGGGAACUGCAAUUGUGACUGGCAGGCUAGAGUUUGGCAGAGGGGGGUGGAAUUCCUGGUGUAGCAGUGAAAUGCGUAGAUAUCAGGAGGAACACCGAUGGCGAAGGCAGCCCCCUGGGCCAUGACUGACGCUCAUGCACGAAAGCGUGGGGAGGCAACAGGAUUAGAUACCCUGGUAGUCCACGCCCUACACGAUGUCUACUAGUUGUUGGGUCUUCAUUG
rnacentral:rRNA from 1 species